GGUCAUUCUUAUAACAAUGAUAAUUGAAAAAAUUUCCAAAAGGAAAGAGGAAAAAUGGAACCAAUAAUACAAACAUAGUUGGAAUUACAGAACAAGAAUGUGAAGUAAAAAAAGGGGAAAAUACAGAGGUUCUGACAUAAGAAAGGAGGCAAGUUUGAGGAGGCGAUGAGGGUUAUUCCGUGGAAUGAAUCGGGUGAACAAAUAUAUGGUAAAAUUGUCUGGGGAAUUUUUUUUUGCUAUACCUCCAUUGUUGAAUAGGCAAUUCUUAGCCCCCCUUCAUCGAAUGAUGAUUCGAUAAAUCAAAAUAAUAAGAAUGGAAUAACCAUUC
rnacentral:lncRNA from 1 species